rnacentral:snRNA from 1 species
GUGCUUACUUUGGUAGGACAAAUACUAAAAUUGGAAUGACACAGAAAAGAUUAUCGUGGCACCUGUGCAAUGCUGAAGUAUUCCAUAUUUUU